UAGAGUUUGAACCAAUCAUUUUUCAGUUAGUGUACAUCUGUAUUCAACUGAUGUUGUGUGUACUUCAGAGACAUACAGUAACUUCAGGACUGAAGGGUUUUAUAUCCACCAUUUGUAGGAUCUGAGAAGAGUCAGAGAUCAGUCUGAUGGAGCAUAAAAUAAAGACGGAUGUCUGGUACAAUUAUUAAUUUGACAUAUUUUUGUUAACUUUGUGUGUUAAGUGUUCCUCAAGGCCCAGCAAAUCUUGAGGAACAGGAGAAGUGCAUCAGUUUCACAGAGUAUCUCCUGGACAACCUCAAACAUCUACUUCCAAACAUGUACCCUCACGCAUCUGUCAGCAACACAACAGUGAGUUUAGACUUAUGUUUAUAUUUGUAUUUGUGUUUAUAAUGUUGUGAAUCUGAUGAAAUGAUGAUAAAUAAUUAUUUUUUUUGGUUUGGUUCAUGAGUGAGAGAUUCAGAAAUGUGUUUGUGUAUAUGAUGAGGCAGACAGUGUGUUUGAGGAGAGAGGAGACAUCACCAUUGAAGAGUGUGUCCAGCUGCUGCCUCUCACAGAGAACAGGUCCAAGCCACCAAAAGUUGGACAACUUGGGCGUCUCAAAAAAAGAUUAACACAUUUUUGGAGAAAGUUCGGCUCAUGCACUGGCAGGUACAAAGUGCAAGAUUUAAAACGUUUAACAUUUUAUGUAUGCUGGUAAAACAAGGGACAAAGGUUUAUUUUUGAUUAUGAAAAUACCUAAAGGAAGUUUAAAAAUGUACAUUAAACUGUAAAGUACAUUGGUCUUGAAUGUGCUGUCUAAAAAGGUGUUCUCUGUUUUCUUUGUGUCUUAUUAAUUCCUUUUCCAUAAAGCCCCUAUAAAGAGAGUAAAGAGCCUUCUGGAGCCGGUGAUGGACAAAAGCAACCAAUGAGGGUCACCGGAAAACGUUGAGGGCCGGUGAGGGUCACUGAAGGACUGUGAGGGGUUGGUGACAUUCACCUGAGUGCACAAAUGGUUUGGUGAGGGUCACCAGAGAAUAAUGUGACUGGUAAGGGUCACCUGAAAACACAGAGUUGGUGAGGGUCACCAGAGGACAUAGGACUGGUGAGGGUCAUCUCAAGGCAUGGAGAGUUAAUGAGGGUCACCAGAGGACAAUACGACAGGAGAGGGACACCUGAAAACACUGAGGGUUGGUGAGGGUCACCUGAAGACACAGAGGGUUGGUGAGGGUCACUCAAUUAAAGCUUGUCAUUUUCAUUUAAUUACUGUCUCUCUUGUUUUUUGUGUCUGUAUUCUGCAGUCUUUAGUGUGUAAUAGUAGCAUUUUCUGCACUCAGAUGUUUACAAAUCUAAAAACAUUUACAAUAAAAUAAACAUGGUAUUACAAAACAAUAAAAUUAAAAAUGUAUGACAUUACAUAAUUUUGUUUAUUUAUUAUAUAUAAUAAAAUGAAUGAAUGAAUGAAUGAAUGAAUGAAUGAAUGAAUGAAUGAAUGAACGAACGAACGAACGAACGAAUGAAUGAAUGAAUUAAACUUAAAAUCAUGUUACUCUAAACUUAAAUAGCAAGUGAAUUACACAAGGAGCUGUCUUUAUUGUAAGUCAAAGAGAACGUAACCCAGUGUACUCUUGAACAUGUCAUGAGGUUCUUACUUUCAGACGAAUAUUAGAUGUUGCUGAGUGAAUUUACUUUGAGGGACA
ensembl:lincRNA